rnacentral:rRNA from 1 species
GUGCCAGCCGCCGCGGUAAGACGAACCGUGCGAACGUUGUUCGGAUUCACUGGGCUUAAAGGGCGCGUAGGCGGGUUGUCAAGUCAGGGGUGAAAGCCUCCAGCUCAACUGGAGAAGUGCCUUUGAUACUGACGAUCUUGAGGGAGGUAGGGGCAUGUGGAACUUCCGGUGGAGCGGUGAAAUGCGUAGAUAUCGGAAGGAACGCCGGUGGCGAAAGCGACGUGCUGGACCUCUUCUGACGCUGAGGCGCGAAAGCUAGGGGAGCGAACGGGAUUAGAUACCCCGGUAGUCCUAGCCCUAAACGAUGGGUACUAGAUUGUGGACUUAACAUGGGUUCACAGUCGAAGCAAAAGUGUUAAGUACCCCGCCUGGGGAGUAUGGUCGCAAGGCUGAA